CUACGGAGGGGGCUAGCGUUAUUCGGAAUUACUGGGCGUAAAGCGCACGUAGGCGGCGUAUCAAGUUAGAGGUGAAAGCCCAGGGCUCAACCCUGGAAUUGCCUUUAAGACUGAUAUGCUCGAGUUCGGAAGAGGGUAGUGGAAUUCCAAGUGUAGAGGUGAAAUUCGUAGAUAUUUGGAAGAACACCAGUGGCGAAGGCGGCUACCUGGUCCGAUACUGACGCUGAGGUGCGAAAGCGUGGGGAGCAAACAGGAUUAGAAACCCUUGUAGUCC
rnacentral:rRNA from 1 species